CGGAGAUUGCUAAAUCAUACUUUUUAGUUCCGAACUAGAAAAGAUCUUCCAACAUGCAAUCCUUGUUUUUUCUCCUCGUCUUGGUGGCUUUGGUAGUGUGCACUCUUGCACAGUGGCCUUACUACGGUGGCUACUACGCUGGCUACAACCCCUACGUUGCUGCCCCUCAUGUCUACAAUUACUAUGGAGCCUACAACCCAGCUUUGAGCUACUUGUGGAAGAAAUGAAGAAAUAAGAAAAGAUAUGAAGACUCAAAUACUGGAUUGAAGAUGUUACUGUCUUUCGGGAUUACUUCAUUCAAACAAUACUUAUUUGAUUGUGAAUCAUUGUAAAACAAUUACAAGAAAAUUUUAUAAUAUGAUUAAUAAAAGAACUAUACUGCAA